AUUGAACGCUGGCGGCAGGCCUAACACAUGCAAGUCGAGCGGAUGAAGGGGGCUUGCGCCUGGAUUCAGCGGCGGACGGGUGAGUAAGGCCUAGGAAUCUGCCUGGUAUUUGGGGAUAACGUCCGUAAACGGGCGCUAAUACCGCAUACGUCCUGAGGGAGAAAGUGGGGGAUCUUCGGACCUCACGCUAUCAGAUGAGCCUAGGUCGGAUUAGCGAGUUGGUGGGGUAAAGGCCUACCAAGGCGACGAUCCGUAACUGGUCUGAGAGGAUGAUCAGUCACACCGGAACUGAGACAAGGUCCCGAAUCCUAACGGAGGCAGCAGUGGGGAAUAUUGGCGAAUGGGCGAAAGCCUGAUCCAGCCAUGCCGGGUGUGUGAAGAAGGUCUUCGGAUUGUAAAGCCCUUUAAGUUGGGAGGAAGCGCAGUAAGUUAAUACCUUGCUGUUUUGACGUUACCCAAAGCAUAAGGCCCGGCUAACUUCGUG
rnacentral:rRNA from 1 species